GAAGGAUGAGAAGCUUCGACUAAGGUUCGAUUCGAGCGCAGCGAGAAAGCGUUGCCGCAGGCAACGACCCGAAGGGCGAAGCGCGCAGCGCUGAGUCAUCCUUCCCCCACCACCA
rnacentral:sRNA from 3 species